rnacentral:rRNA from 3 species
AGGGGAGCCGGAGGGAAACCGAGUCUUAAUUGGGCGUUAAGUUGCAGGGUAUAGACCCGAAACCCGGUGAUCUAGCCAUGGGCAGGUUGAAGGUUGGGUAACACUAACUGGAGGACCGAACCGACUAAUGUUGAAAAAUUAGCGGAUGACCUGUGGCUGGGGGUGAAAGGCCAAUCAAACCGGGAGAUAGCUGGUUCUCCCCGAAAGCUAUUUAGGUAGCGCCUCGUGAAUUCAUCUCCGGGGGUAGAGCACUGUUUCGGCUAGGGGGCCAUCCCGGCUUACCAACCCGAUGCAAACUGCGAAUACCGGAGAAUGUUAUCACGGGAGACACACGGCGGGUGCUAACGUCCGUCGUGAAGAGGGAAACAACCCAGACCGCCAGCUAAGGUCCCAAAGUCAUGGUUAAGUGGGAAACGAUGUGGGAAGGCCCAGACAGCCAGGAUGUUGGCUUAGAAGCAGCCAUCAUUUAAAGAAAGCGUAAUAGCUCACUGGUCGAGUCGGCCUGCGCGGAAGAUGUAACGGGGCUAAACCAUGCACCGAAGCUGCGGCAGCGACACUGUGUGUUGUUGGGUAGGGGAGCGUUCUGUAAGCCUGUGAAGGUGUGUCGUGAGGC